rnacentral:lncRNA from 1 species
CUCAAAGAAGAAACUUAAAGAGUUAUACAAGCUAAAGUGGAGACUUACUGAAUGGAAUCACCUAAUUGCUCGCACUCAUAACCAAGACUUCCAAAGUUAGAGAAGUAGAAAUUUGGUACCUAUGGAGAAGCCUUAGAAAUCAUUACUGAGUGAAAAGCGUGAUCGAUGCUCGUCUUAAGUCCUCGAUGCUGGUAUGUUGACCAACGUUGACUAAGUCUGGGGAGCUUUCCCCUGAAUGGUCAGAACCGAGAAAUCGCCAACGCAGUAGUGAUGGAUCGUCUUCCUUGGGUCUAGAGCCACGCCAUUAUAGCAAAGCUGCCACUUCUUCUCGUUUGAUACAAGCUCAUGUGCUACCUUUCUCUUGAUCGCUCUCACGCUCGCGUUGCUUGGAAACAUCGCUGUGUACGAGCUCCCUGUCGUGGGCGAGACCACCGUGAUCCAUAGCUGUGUCUCCGGCGAUGAUCUAGAUUGAUUCCGAGCUCAGGAAACACUUAGAGAGUAUUCUAGAGUUUUUCUUACCUUUUGGAUCUCUUGUUCUUGCGAGAAAGCUGAUGCUGAUUUCGCUGAUGCUCG